UGGGGAAUAUUGCACAAUGGGGGAAACCCUGAUGCAGCUACGCCGCGUGUGUGAUUGAAGGCCUUAGGGUUGUAAAGCACUGUUGUAGGGGAAGAAUUUUGACGGUACCCUAUGUAGAAAGCACCGGCUAACUCCGUGCCAGCAGCCGCGGUAAUACGGAGGGUGCAAGCGUUGCUCGGAAUUACUGGGCGUAAAGGGUGCGCAGGCGGUCUGUUAAGUCAGAUGUGAAAGCCCGGGGCUCAACCCCGGAACUGCAUCUGAAACUGGCAGACUUGAGGCAGAGAGAGGGAAGUGGAAUUCCUGGUGUAGAGGUGAAAUUCGUUGAUAUCAGGAGGAACACCAGCGGCGAAGGCGGCUUCCUGGCUCUGUUCUGACGCUGAGGCACGAAAGCGUGGGUAGCAAACAGG
rnacentral:rRNA from 1 species